AAGACUAUCAGCUCUCAUCCUAGCUCCAAAACAAGACAAGACAAGAAAGGAUCCUCCGGUUGACAGACAGACUUCCAGCGUUUCAGGAAAAAGGAAAAUGUUUCUUCAGUUCAGGGCAUCUGAAUCAUAUUUCCAAGGGGACAGGCAUUUUCAGGACAGAAUAAAAUAUCCAAAGAUGCAGAGCAGACAACUUUCAAAACUGCAGACCAAUCCUUCUGUGCUGGAAGUGGGAUAUCACAGUUAAGAGAAGAGCACAGAUCCUGGAUCAGACAGAUUUGGUGUCGGAUCCCAGCCCCGAUGUCACUUAACCUCUCAAACUCUUAGUUUCUGUCAGGCCAGGAUAACAAG